rnacentral:lncRNA from 1 species
GCACACAUGCAGCUCUUAGGCCCGGGCCGCACGUCUCAGAAGCCCCGUGUGCGACUUUGACCGCCGCACGAUCCUCUGCCGGGGGAGGUGGGCCCGCUGCGCUUUGGGAGCACCCGCGCCCGACACUGAGGUCUCGGUGCUGUGUUCGGCCUCUUCGUCCCUGCGGGUCCCCUCUGGGAGCAGAGGCGGUCGGAAAACCCUGGGGCUGAAGUGCAGGCUUCGGGAGGACGCGACCUGCCAAGAUCAGCUCCCGGCACGUGAUGGGAGCCUGGCUCACCUUCCCCCAGCGCACGAUGGGCCGCAGCCUCCCCGGUCGGCCUGGCCUGCUGGAAAGGAGCAGCUCUGUUUCCAGAGGCUUCUGGCGAAGCCCACGGCCUCCCAUUGUUGGCUGAUUUAUAAGGAAAGAGGGGAAAGGCCAAGUGUGGAUGCCAUUAGCAUAACCUAAUCCAGACCCCAUGACAAGUCCAGGAUCCUGCAGGGAGAGGGCAUCCUUGAACGUGAAGGACUGGCUUUGGAAACUUGGCCUCCCGGAAGAAAGGUCUCCGGGCCCACCCACACCCACCUUGUGGACGCCCCCGCAGUCGAAUACACUCCACAGGAAGACGGACCACAAACAGCAGCAGCCUCCGGUGUCGGCCCAGUGAUCCGGGAGCUCAGAGUGUAGGUACCUGACGGCUUGACUCGUCCCCAGGACAAGGCCUGUGAGAGGGAGGGGGGCACUCUGAGUGUGCGAAUGUGUGAGUGUGUGUGUCUGGGCACGAGUGUGUAUGCGUGUGUGUGUGCAUGUACUAUAUUCACAUGUGUGAGAGUGUGAAUGUGUGUGUCUGUGGGUCUGCGCACAUAAGUGUGUGUGUGCAUAUACUAUAUUCACGUGUGACUGUGCAAAUGUGAGUGUGUCUGUAGGUCUGGGCACAUGUGUAUGCAUGUGUGUGCGAGUACUAUAUUCACGUGUGUGUGAGUGCGAAUGUGAGUGGGUGUGGGUCUGGUCACAUGUAUGUAUGCAUGUGUGCAUGUAUUAUAGUCAUGUGAGUGUGCAAAUGUGUGAGUGUGGGUCUGGGCACACAAGUGU